GCCAUUUUGUACAUGUGCAGUGCAUCCAGUUUUUAAUUAAACAAUUAAUUAUCUUUUUGAAAGUAUUCUUAUGCUUCUUCUGAUUAAAAGCACUUUGUGGAGUCAAGGUUCAAGACUGAUUUGUCAACACUCCUCGUGACACAUUGGGCAACAUGAGGUAGACACAAGUUCAACUAAACUACAAACUGACAGCCUGCAACCUGAACAAGCUACAUCACACAUUGGAGGAUCUCAACUACUGUAUAUUGCAAUGGCCUUUCUGUCUACAUCACAACCUGAUGUUAGGAGGAUUUCACUGAAUCAAGUAUUCAAGUGGGAAGGAAGAUUUUCAAGACGCACUGCUUGAGGAGAUUAACAUCAAUUCUGCAAGAAUUUAUGAACAGUGAAACGUCAUGAACCCAUGGUGCAAGAUUCUACGGCAAGCUGGAGGAGACCGACAAUGCAGCAAUGACUCUGUGAACAAUGUGGACUUGAACUAAACCCAAACUCACUGUUGGCUUUGAAAUGCAGCUCUAAUGCUACAUCUCUGAACAGUGAAACGUUAUCAACUCAUGGUGCAAGAUUCUACGCCAAGCUGGAGGAGACCUUCAUUGCAGCAAUGACUCUGUGAACAAUUUUCACAUGAAUAAACUCAAACUCACUUUUGGCUUUGAGAUGCAGCUCUAAUGCUACACCUCUGAACAGUGAAACAUCAUCAACCCAUCUUUCAAGAUUCUACGCCAAGCUGGAGGAAACCGACAUGAACAAUUUGAACUUGAAUUAAACCCAAACUCAUUGUUGGCUUUGAGAUGCAGCUCUAAUGCUACAUCUCAAAGCCUGGAUUAGAGACAUAACUCAUAACUCUUGAGAUGCAAAUGAGAUGUGUGCAAGGCCGGAGGAUAACGAGGACAUUAUUUUGUGAACCCACCUUCACUGUGCACCCUUUAGAACCUCAAUGUGAUCAACAUACAAGGAGCAGAUCGUUUGUAUAGUAUCUAGAAACUAAUGAAGCAAUGUCAAUGUCCAAAAGUAACAAUCGUUACAGUGGACAUCGCACAACGCUUCCAAUGGCAGUUUGAUUAUCGUCACCGUUUUCAAGAACAGACAAAUUAACUUUUUUUAUCUUUUUUUUUUAAAGUGCAAAUAGUUUUGUUACAAACUUUUUUGUUGGCGACAUCAACAUUUUUCUCAGCCUGUUUAAUUUCUUGGCUUUGAACACAUAUUAGCACACAGAUAAAAUCCAAAGAAAUAGUCCGAAAUUCGUGUUUUUGAACAUGAAAUCUUCAAUAUCACUCAACAAAAAUGCUUGAUUUUCACAAAAAGAAACUAUCUGUGUAACCUGUGUGAUAAGUAUUCUUGAGGAGAAAAUCUUGUCUCAGAUAAUCAGAUAAAUAUGUCUUUAUACAAAAAAAUCACAAGAAACUGCUAGAAAUUCAAUUUAAAUGUUUCAUCAAGACAAAAGAUUUAGUCUCUAAACUAAUGGUUUCUUUAACAUCAAACUCAAUUUACUCCACACAUAGUUUUGUUGCAGGGGCUAAAGUGCUCUUUGUAAAAACAAAAACGGUGACGAUAUCUUUGACAAAUAUAUAUUAAAAUAAAACUGUAGCAUUAAGGUAUAGUCAUCUGUUCAUGCAUGAACAUAUACAGAAUUAGUGUAGUGUAAUACAAUAGCUUGAACUUGAGAAAUGGUAUAACUAUUAAUUUUUAAACAUUCUAUUCCUAAUGGCAUCAGGGAUGCUAAACGGAAAACAUGUAGGACUACAACUAAUUUAAAAUAGGCUAUCAAUAGUUUCCAUAAACCUUUUGUCAACCGUUUCUCCUUAAUCCAACAAAGUCUUAUGUGAUUGGACUCAAACAAAUUGUAUUUCUUGCCUGGCAAAACCGCUGGCUAUAAAACUUAAUGGGUGAGAUUUAGGAAUGUAUAUAAACUCUCCCUAACAUCAGCUGUACCUUUUUACAGCAAACAAGAAACAAUAAGUGACACUUAGUCAAUGUUAAUUCACAUGUAAUUUCUUCAAAAUGAACAAUGACAUGAACAUUAGCAGAAGCUCUUCUAGAAAUGUCAAGACUGUACGAUAUAUCAACCCUGCUUCUUCUCGCAGCCAAAACUUCUCCUGAAAGAGAUUGAAUUCAUUUGAGUCAUAUUCAUCAGUUUUACUUUGAACUUCUUACUUCAUGUAGGCCUACCAUGCAAAUACUUAAAAAUUACUCAAUGGGGGAGAAAGUUGUAAUGAAAUAUUUCAAGUUUAGUUUAGCGUUUCACAGGAAUUAAACCCAUGUUAGUAUUCAUGACUUGAAAGACAUACAAUAGCAUAGUAAAGGAGUUACUUUUCAAUAAUGUUGUUGAAUUUGACCUAAAAACUCAAGUGGAUCUCGUUUAAUUUAGCACAGAGGAAUUCAUGCAUGAACAGAGAAGUAAUAGUACUUGUAGUUUUAAGUUAUGUAAUGAAAAGCCUCUCACAGAAACCCAAACUUUUAUAAAUCAGGUAAAAACCAACAAGGCAAUGUCAAGCAAAACUUCUGGUAACACUUUGGAACACUGGGUGUUAACAGAGUAUUUGAAUACUCUGUCCAAAACUAAAAAGCAAUCAGAAGUCCAUUGGAUUCAGCUUUUUAAUUAGCAUUGUGGUGUAUAAGCAAAUUUUGUUUUUCGUAACUUAUUUAAACUUCAUGAGAAAUCAAAAAAUUUGAAGCUUUUUGUGAGAGGCUUGUCUGUCUUAAAAAUUGUAAGCUAAUUUAGUUAUUAAGUUAGAGUGUGGAGGGUAAGUCUAUAAGGUCUGUUGGUAAGAUGGGUACAAGAUUGGUUGUUACUACUUCUGAACUAAAAACCGUCAGACUCAAAAAGUCAAACAUUUGAUGGUACAACACAUUGGCUGGCACAGCUGAUGGAGUUGUUGGCCCUACUAUCUUCCUUGUUUCCCACUAUUACAAAUAUUCUCAAAAAAACUUGCCAAAGACAAAAACAAAUUUUGCUUUAUCUUUUUUUUCCAGCAGCAUGGACGAAAUGUCUCCAAAAGCUGGCUGGCAUGUUAAUUCUGGAUCUUCCUUUUAAUUUUGUGAAAUCAGUAACAACGUAUUGAUUUCAACCAAACACAUUUUUCAGUCAAAGAUAUUAUGCUGCUAGUCAAAAUUUUUCAUUUUUUAUAUUAUACAAAAGUAUUCAAAAUGGAACCAUAAUGCGAGCCAUCCUGUACAGAAAAAGAUUCUACCAAUUUUACACUUCUCUGAUGUGCUUCAUGCAUUGAAGUGUACAGGCCAAGUGGCUCUCUAAAAUAAGCUUAUGAGACAAAAUCUCAAUUAAAAAAACUUGUGUUGCAUUUCAUUGACUUAUAACAAAUUUAAACUCAUUAUGAAGUAAUGUAUAUAAGCCAAUCUUGUACACCAAAAUCCGAAAUUCUAGCAGCAUUGACAAAAAGUCUACAAAAGCUGAAAUCUAAAUUCUGGAUCUUACUUUUACAUUUCAAAGUCAAAAAUGACACAUUUAUUCUGCCCAUCUUUUUCAAUGAACAAUCCUGUUACUAAUGAAAAGUUAUUUUGUAAUUUACCAACAGCUCAUGAAUGUACCCCUCCCCUUUUGGCACCCCGGUGCAUGCAAGCCAUCCUGGUGCUUGCACGAGUGUUCCCCGCCCGCAGGUGUCGGCAGGCUGGUUGGUGAGUUGUCCUCUGAAUGCACUUGAAGGUGUUUGGCUGUUUGUGAGGUGUCAACCUUCCCAAUACUUGGCGGUCUGGAUGAAUCAGAGACCCACAGUUGGCUACAACAUGGUAAGGAUCCUUUGAACUAUGAUGAUUAAUUUUCUUUCCACAGAGGAGGAUGUGUCCAUCGUCAACUCUGGGCAUUGCAUAUGGAAGAAAUGCCUUCAAGUCUGCUCUGAACUCUACAUUUCAUGAUUUGCAUCAUGGUGUUUUGAUCCAUGAGAAUGGAAUAUCUACAAAUGUACACUUUUGCAAGUAUUUCUGAGAUGUUUGCCAUACAUAGGGAUUUUGGUCACAAUGUUUAAGCCAGCCAAUCAUUUGUUGAGCGAUCACAAUCUAAACCACUCUCUGCCUUGCAUUAAACAAAAGUCAAGUUUGGUAGUUUCAAGCAAAAAUGUACUAAAAGAGCAAUAGUCAAUCUUUUUCGAAAGCAAAAUAUAAAUCCAUUAAAGUCAAUCAAAUGAGAAAAACAAGUUCAUCAGCACAAACAGUGAACAACGGCUUUUCCAAUCAAUGAAAUAGAACUAUUGUAAAAACAAACCGACAAAUAAAAAUUUGUACAACUAAUUCUCAAUGAUAUUUCGAUAAUCCACAGAAAAAUAACCAGUCUUACUUUUACAAAUGAAUAGAAAUAUAAGUGAACGAGCAUUUUUAUGAACUUUUCUUUGUGAAAGCAUAAAUUCAUCCUAGCAAAAUGAUUAACAAAAGGACAAAAACUAGAAUUGAAACGGUUGCCAUUUCAACAAAAGCUCUAAGAAAAUUAUACAUCAAAUUCAAAUGAUGUGGACUCCCUUUAAAACUUAAAAAUUACACUAUCAAACAACAAAAAUAUACAAUCUGCCAAAUUGCAGUUUGUUAAAAAAUAAAUCCUAGAGGCUAAAUCAUACUCAAUAAAAAUGAGUAACGUCUGAACUUAUGUUAACAGUGUUUUGCAAAAAAACUCAAGUUUGUUCAAACUAUGUCUUACUGAAGAGACAAAUCUAGGUUCUGUGAAAUGAUGUUUAAAAAAUCUUCAAAUCCAACUGGAUAUUCUUGAUAUGAACAGAAAAAAAAAACUGUUGAUACAAGAUGUUUCAAAAAAAUUAUUAAAACAAUGAACAGAACUGCACAAAAGGUAGUUCGAAAAUCUAUUUCACUAUUUCAAAGCAGGCCGCCCCAAAAAUAUUGAAACAAAAACAAAACAUCACACGGAGAUUUUAAAAUCAGUUCAAAUUGUAUCCUGCAUGUCAAUGCGUUACAAAGAAAAUACACUUUCUUGUUAAUAAUCGCCAUGACAAGAAUCACAGAUUGAGAAAGGCACCAGUCUAUUGGAGACGUGAGCCUCAAUGUGAUUCUAAUAGAAUUGAAUAUCAGAAAAAUCAAAGUUGCUUACCUUGGAUAGUGAUCCAAUUUCAGUGGCUUAUAGUAAACCAUUUUAACUUGUAACUCCAACCAAUAGUCAGUAUUUGAGCUGAAAUCUAAAAAUUCAGAAAAAGUAUUUUUAACAUAAAAAUACUUGAGAUGUAUGUGCCAGAUCUACAUGUAAAAACAGUGUAGUUCAUGGCCGUACUGUAAAACCAAGGUGUAGUUCCUGGCCAAACUGUAAAAUCAAGGUAGUUCGUGGUCAAAUUGCUAAAUCAUGGUAGUUCCUUGCCACAUUGUGAAAUAGUGGCUCUUGGCCAAACUGUGGAACUGAUCCCAACACCGGGAAAAACAUGGGGUGCCAAACUCUUUAAACUACUCUUAGAAGGAUGGCCUGGGGUGAUAAAGUAUAGCACCAUACUAUAAAAUAGGGCUGUACAUGGACAAUGUGGUGGGUCCCUCAGUCUCGACGGUAAAACUGUGGUGUCGACACAGGGGUCCCAGUCCUGUUAGAUAGGUCCAUGGUAACUUUAAUUGAAGUAGGAAUACAUGUACUGUAACUAUACAUCCUCAGCCAUGCACUGAUAGUCUUCAAUCAAAGGCAAUACCAAGCAUGUUAGGGUUGAAUAUCAAUCAAGGCAUUGACCAAGGUCUUAGGGUUUGAAAUGAAGACAGGUUUUCUUCAGACCUGUGAUAGAUAUAAGAAACACAAGUUGAAAAAACUCUGUGCCUGCAAUUAAUAUCUUAAAAUAAUUAAGUUAUAACCAGCGAUCUUUACAUUGAAUAUGGAAGUUUUUCUCAGGAACAAACAUGGCAAUUGCUGUAAAAAGUCCCUGAACUCGGUCAUUGUAGUGACCACUCAACCAACCAAGAUGGCCACACAGGUCACUUGAUGAAGAUAAACAUUGUUGCAGACAAUGGACAUGCAGCAUGGUAGACAUAUUCAGGGCAAUCCUUUGCUGAUGAUACAUGAUAUGAAAUCCCUGAAAUAUCCCUGAUGGGUACAGUGAAGCUAUCAUGAGCCAGACAGCCCAACCUGAUGCCACCCAUCAGAGGGUUACAACACUAAUGCAGGCACAGUCCACCUAGAUACCCUUACUGGGUAAAGAGACAUUACAGUGGCAGAUUUUAGUAAUCGGACUCUACCCUCCAUGAUACCCAUAUCCUGGGUAGAGAGGGAUUUUAUCUAGCCCAAUAGCUACUGUCAGAGAGAACUAGGACAUAAACUUCACCAAAACAAGGAAUGCACCAUGAGGCGUUUGUUCCCGAAGCAAAGUUCAUGUGAAGACACUUUGACGUCCUUUAAGUGGCAAAGAAAAACCUCAUGCGGAGGUUUCUUUAUUUGAAUGGUCAAUGCCUUGAUUGAAUUUUGCUAAUUCUAGGCACCAUUAAACUUUUAAGUCCGGCUUGGGGUAUUCAGGUUAGUUUUUUAUCACUGCUUUCAUAUAAUCAGUGAAGGUUUUGAAGAAACCAAUAACUCUUAGAAAGAACUUUCUUUGCAAAUCAACAAUUGGUCUGAAACAAAAAGUAUAUCCACUCAUUAUAGGAUUGACAAAAGCAAUGAAUGCAGUCAAUCAUACAAUCUGUAUUACCAACCUUGUUGGUAAUAUUUAACUUUCUUACAUAACCCCAAGCCUGGUUUGUCCUAAAACUGAUAGUAGGUUUGUACCAUGUACAAAUAUAGUCCUGAAAGUUCUUCACAUUUGUGUACACAAUGGGAUAUAAACAUGCAAUAAAUCUGUAAAAGUUUAGCUAACCUUUGAGUAUGAGGAGAAAUAUGUGGAGUCUUAUAAACCCACUUACCUCCAUCAUGAUGUGAUGCUCUAGGUGACUUCACUCCUGGCUCUAGAGCCAGUUAACAAUUCUCCCAACUAUCGCAGUAGCAAUCACAUGUAAGUCUUUGCCUUCCAGUUGUCACUUACAAUGCAGGAGCAGUUAUUAAUGUGAUGUCCUUAAUAACCAAAAACAUGGGAUAAGCUGAUCACAACCAGGAAUGAACCAAGUCCUUAGGAUAUAAAUCAGUAUCAGACAACAUUGUACUAAUUACUUAGAUCACAAAAAGCACAGCAAGCUUGACUUUGUAUUUGUGGCCCUUUUAGAUAUUGUGAAGAACUUUCAGGACAUUUUCUUUCUCAACCUUGCUUGGUAUUGCCCAGCCUCGUUCCCAACAACUCGUCCGAAAUGGGCCAGUUGUUAUUUUGUUUGUUGACCCUUUAUGGAAACAUGGUAAUCUAUUAGACACAAAUAAUGGGUACGCACAUAAUUACCCCCCCCCCCCCACCCCCACGUAGGCAAACUGAAAAAUGUGGUCACUGUCCCUUGUCAGGUGAACUUAUAUACAUGAACCUACAACAUCUAACAAUAUAAGCCCUACUGGGCAAGGUGACAGUGGUCAACACCAGACUUUAUUGAUCCACACACUAUGUCCACCACUAGACCCAGUUAUAGGUAACAAAGUUUAGCUUAAAAGUGGCCACUUCUAGAUACUUUUUAUUUGUGUGGCAACCAGUAACAUACAUCUAGCCCCUGUUUGGCAACCUACAGCCUACAUUUAACCUCUUGUUGGGCAACUGAUAACCUACAAGUCCAUGUUAGGCAACCAACUACAUACAGUAGCCCCUGUGGACCAGCCUACAACUAGCCCCUGAUGGUAAACAAAACACCUACGACUAGCCCCUAUUGGGCAGUCGGCAAACUGCAAACCCCUGUCAGGCAACCAACAACACCUACACGUACCAAUAGCCCCUGUUGGUCAACUGCAACAAUGCCUACCACUAGCCCCUUUUGGGCAAUCGGCAACAAUGCCUAUCACUAGCACCUGUUGGGCAACUGCAACAAUGCCUACCACUAGCCCCUGUUGUGCAUCCAACAAUUCUUAAAACUAGCCCCAGUUGGGAAACCAACAAUGCCUACAACUAGCCCCAGUUGGGCAACCAACAAUGCCUACCAGUAGCCCCAGUUGGGCAACCAACAAUGCAUACCACUAGCCCCUGUUGGGCAACCAACAAUGCUUACAACUAGCCCCAGUUGGGCAACCAACAACGCCUACCACUAGCCCCUGUUGGGCAUUUGCAGCAAUGCCUACCAUCCCCGUCUGGCAUUUGCAACAAUGCCUACCACUAGCCCCUGUUGGGCAACCAACAAUGCCUACCACUAGCCACAGUUGGGCAACGCAAACCUGCAACAAGACCCAGUUGGUAAAGUGUUUGAUCAUUGGUGACCCACACUUUGUUCACAAAACUACAAGUUAUUUAGUUAUACCCAUAAAAAUGCCCUUUCAGCCCAUAUAUGGGCAAAGUGAUUGAUCAGCAAACGCAAUCACUACUCCCAAUAUUCUAAAACAUUCAAUCAGUCCCAUUUCAUAGUGAGAUACUGUGUGAUGGAUUACCAUGGGAACGAGGUGAUAAACAUUGACCUAUCGCCAUUCUCAACUCAGCCAUAUCUAGGACAAAUAAGUGAUAGCAAGUUAAAACAAGCACUCUCAGGAAGUAGAUGCAAAUGAAGCAUUGGGUGUACAGCAGGCAUUUGAUGUACUUUUUUGUCAGAGAAUAAUGGGAAAAUUUACAUGAAUAAAGAAACACAUACUGGAUAUGUAUGAGUUUCAUCAUGUAUUGUCUACAUAUAGCCUACUGCUAGAAAAGUAAAAAGAAAGGAAAAGUGCUCAUUUGUGUUUUGGAUGAAAAUACAAUGAAUAAUAGUGAGCACAUACUGCACAUGAAUGAGCAUCAUGUAUAGUUUCCAUGUAGGAUAAGUACGUCUCAUUGCCCUGUGUCCUAAAUGAGGCACAUUGUACGUCAGGUAUGUACAUGAAUAAAUACAUACAUCUUGGUAUGUAUGCAAUAGGUUAUCACUUUCCAGUAUUGUAGAUCAGGUUGAUCAUACAAUGUGCUUAAUGCACUGUAUUUGGCUAUCAUAAUAUGAAUGGCGGUAGGUCAAACGUCUUUGAUUGAAGACUAUCGAUAAGCUCCAUGUAAUUUUUAGGGCUGUAUCCACCACUGGUUUAUAAGUUGAGUAGUGAAACUAAAGUUGUAAACCAUAUCAUCAAAUGUUGAAAGAGAAUAAAGUGACACCCCAUAUUUAGACAAAUUUUAGCUGUCGAACGUCAUUGGAAAAAACAUGCAUUCAUCUUUUGUUGAUCUCAAGGAAUGCAUUAAAAAAAUCAGAACCAGAUCAAUAUAGACACCAAUCUGUAAAAGUGUCAAGAAAGCAAACUAGUCUAAAAAACAAUGAGCAAAAAGCAUUAACACAAGUCAGUUUUAACAUUGAACUUGAUCACUGGAUCCAGUGUUCCACUUCAUUGUGGUUGUCACUUUGAAAGAUUAGUCACAUACAAAAAUGUUGAAGGAUGAUUUGAAUCAGUACAGUAGAAAGAUGAAACUGCAUCAAGUUCAAUAAUCCUAAAGAUGAGCUGAAAAAGGAUACUGAAGGUGAAAAACAAGUUAAGGAUAUUUUAACUAACACUCUAUUGUGAGUGUAAGUUCACAUGUGGUAAUUUGAGCCAAAUACUUGGAUGUAAUUACCCAUAGGAUUCCAGCUCUGUCACUACUUAUUAUUUUAAACCAGUGGUGUAUACAGUCUAUCCAAUGUCCAUGCAUACAACUAGCUCUAGGACUAAGGCCUUGCUACUAUGAUUUUAAAUAACAGAGAUGUAGGCCCAGACAGUUGUAGUCUCAGGUCUUUUUAGAUUGCUUAACUUAAUAAACCAAAGUAGAUUUGUUUACCUUGGUACAUGGAGUAUUCCAGUAGCUGUACAUAAGAAUCAUAGGAGUGUAGAUACCCCGCUGGAUGGUAAUUACUAUCACUCAUUAGUUCCUCAGUUACACUCAUGUAUUGAAGGUCCAUCUUAUACAAGAUUCUGUAUAGUAUAGGAAAAGAUCAGCAAAGGAACUUCAUAUGAACUGAUGUACGAGCAAAGAAAUCUCAGAUUUAAGUUCCAGUCCUGGAGAGAUAGAAAUAAAAAGAUGAAUACAUUAAUUGACCUACAGUAUGGGUUACUUCUUGGGGUAUACCCUACUUCAUAGCAAACAGUGUUAACAAUCAGUCUGUGGUUGUCUUUUUGAGGCAGAAAUCAAGAUAAGUCGAUUGAUGUAGGACUACAUAACAAAUACAUUUUUGAUCACAACUUGCUCACAAGUAACAAAUGAUCAGUUUCAGCCAACAAUCAGAAAUUUUUACUUUUGAUGACAAGUUUUGUGUAGGUAUUAUCAAAUAAGUCACAAAGCUACUACCACAGAAAUGUAGUUAGUAAAAGAAAACAGCAUCAGGCAAUGUAGCUACCUUAUUACAUCAGGCAUAGCUUUCCUUACAGACAGUAUAUCUACCCUCACAUCAGGCAUGUUCAGCUAUUACACUAAGCACAGCCCAUAGUUGUUCAGUUUGUACAAGGUGUACAAAUGUAAUUUAGAAGGAACAGUUGUAUGCAUGAGACUCUUGCAGGCCCUGGGAAAGCCUACACUGUUGUUUAAGGAUUCACUUCAUCAAAGCUGAAGUGAAGAAACGUUUAUGUUUUAGGCAUCUGUAUUCUAGUUCCAAUCAGUUUGCUCAGCAGAAACAAAUUUAGUGCUAAACACAUGUAAAAAUCGUUCUUAGUUUGCAUAAGCAGGGUAGUUUUAGGGGUUUAACAAAAUGGACUGUAGAAGGCAUAAAACAUUAAGCUAUAUGCUUUUACUUCAAGUAGAGUUGAAACAGCAGACAGGAAUAGUUCUAUUAAAAAAUCUGCCAACUCAGCAAAUACACAUUUAGUUCUAAUGACUUGAAUGAUAUAAUCUUGAAUGUUUUUUCGAUGGACUCUUCGUUUUCUUAGCCUCAAGUAACGAUGAAAUAGCAAUCAGAAUCAGUUGAUAUUGAAUGGUCAAUAUGAAACUCUCCUUUUUAGUGUAGAAGAAUAACAUUAUUUGAUUGAUCAGAAAGCACAGUAGAUUGUAAUGCAAACUAAUUUUAACAAACUAAAUGCAAAGCUACAAUCCUUAACAACUCAAAGGAAAUGUAACAAUAAGACAAGAGAAUAGAAACUAUAAAUAGAUAGGUUAUUAUUCGUAGCAAACUGACUGGUAGAGACGGCAGUAAAAAUUUCCUUGGUAUAUUUCCCAGGGCCUGCUUAUCAUAGGUUAACAUGUGAGCUUUAAAAGGUGCAUGGUAUCUGUUAUACAUGAGGAUGUAUAGUAAAAUGUACAGUGCAUGAAUUACAAAAACUUCAAUUAAUUUUACCAUGGACAAAAGAAGGCAGGACUGGCAAACCCUGUGUCACCAAAGGCACCAUAGUUUCCCUUGAUACUGAGGGGCAGAUUUAGAAGGGGCGGAUCCAAAAUCAGAAAAGGAGGAGGUGAAAUUGGCCGGAGGUCCUGUCAUGAAAGGGGGGGGGGAUUUAGGGUUUGUCACACAUAGGAUUGUGUCUAAAAUGCACUUUGCAUUUAGACAAGUGAAAUUAAAAUUCAAAGAUGUAUAAUAAUUUUUAUCCAACCGUUUUUGGCGCUUGCGUUGUGGAUGUUGUAUGAAAUAAAUAAAUAAUAGUAAAGUGAACUUAAUGAAAUCACCAAACCUCAUAAUGUAAAUUUGACAAAUGAGACUAAAAAUGACUAUCUUUUGUAGUCAUUAUGAUGUUUCAGCAACGUUUUGAUGCCCAUUUCAGCAAGACGCCUGUUUUGUAUAGCAAGUGUCUUAAAUUUCAAAGAUCGUUUAGGUUUGGUAGUCAUCAUGACGCUGUAAAUGCGUUGAGAUGAGCCAAACAGCUUUUCAAAAUACUACACGAGACUAAUAAAGUAACCUAUUACACUAUAGUCCAAUUAAUGAGGAAAGUAUUUUGCAUAUUGCGGAAAAUAAUACUCAAGUGCUCCAGGUAGGGGCCCUUCUGAAUAAUCUUAAAAACUUGUAAGGGAUCAACUGUAGAUUGUGUGACAAAAUCUGUUUAUUGCCCCCCCCCCCCCCUCAUAAAAAGGGGGAACAAAAUAGAAAAUGUACCAAAGUACAGAAGGCAAUUGUAACAUAGAAAAAGAAGAAAUAGACAUGACAGGGCUUUCCGGCAAAAUGUAAGGAAUAAAAAGAAGGGAGGUCCAACACAAAAAGAAGGGACCUCCAAUGGAUCCGUCACAUUAAAUUUUUCCACCACAUUGUCAAAAAUUUAGCCACAAACUGAGUAUGGUGCUCACAAACAGAUACCCCAGGACCAUGUUACAGAGAAAAUAUGCUACUCAAAACAGUGUAAGGAAAACAAAGAAAAAACUAUGACCCAAUAAGACACACUCUAUAAAGAAUGAGUCGUUACAUCAGGCAAUCAAGAUGCGCGAAUACAAAUGAUAAGACAAAAAUUAGUCUGCACUAAGUUCAAGCAAAACUACAAAUGAUUGUAUCAAACUAUUUGGAGUACAGGAGUACAAGUCAGUGAUUCCAAAAGUGAACAAGAAGACAAAAUCUUCAUUAACAUAAUGUCUUUGCAGACGGAACUUAGCAAAGUUUAGUUUGUUAACUCAUUUUUGAACCUAAGCAUAAACUUUUGUAACUCAGUUUGAAGUGUAGUAACAUAAGUGAAGUUGUGGAAGCUCACACUUAACCAACAACUAUCAUUUGGGAAACAUGUCAGUUUAUGGACUUAACAUGUUUAGUGAAGUACUUUGGACUCAUAAAUACAUGAGAACCUUGCAUUGUUUUGAGUAGCAGGAGAGUUUGGCACCCCAGAAACUUGGACAGGUUUAUUUUACUGAAGUUACAAGUUAAAAAUUAGUUUAUCGCAACGGAAGUCUAAAUGGUGAAAAAAAUAAAAAAUAAUAACCUGCUUGAAAUCAGUGAAAUAGAAUUAAACACGCACCAUAAAUAACAUCAAACAAAUCAAUUUAAAUCAUUCGGACUUCGGAACCUUGUAUUAAAUACAAAAUGCCUCGAAAGUAGGAUGCAGGAAUUGCUGCUGUUCAAAUCUUUACGCUCUGCAAAAUGUUUCAACUUCAAGUAGAAAUGGCAACCAAAUCAAUUAGAAUCUCAACUUUUGAAAAGCAUUAAAAAUAACUCGUCACUUUAGAGUUUUCAAAAGCAUUUCAAAAUAUUAACAAUCUACGUUAACAUUUUUGAAAUACAUAGCUUCAUUGAAAAUGUGCUAGUUUUUUACCUCCUUGCACUCCGCUAAUGCACUCAAAAUCCUCGAACAGUUUCUAUAAUAGAAAUAUGAAAAGCUUGUUCAUUAAAGUUCAUUUGCAUAUAAACAGAGUCACCUCGUCGUCGUGUUUUAAUUACACACAUUAAAAUAAAUUCACUGUUUGUACUGAUGAACUUGAACCAAGGCUAAAUGCAUUAUUACACGACAACUUACUAAAUAUGUCCUUGAGUGGGAAAUCAUUAAAACAGCGUUUAGUAGCACAGCCUAGUCAUAAAAUAAACAGAUAUUUGUUUUAAAACAUGCUAAGGAACACACUAAAAAUGGCAGAGAAUUAAUAGGGUCUUCUUUGUGGCGUUGGCAAAUAUGAUAGGUGCGGUUGAAAACAAAAUGUGACCUUUAAUCUUAACAUGGCAAACUAUUAAAGAACACUUGCAAAAAACGUACAUUUGUUUGGUAUUUCAUUUAAUAGGAUCAACAACCAGGAUGCAAAUUAUGCAAAUGUAAGUUCAGAAUAGACAUUGAGGGUAUUAUUUCCAUAUGUAAUGUCAGGAGUUGGAGAUAGAUACAUCUAACUCAGUGUUAAGUUAAUUAAUUAUUAUAGUUCAUUAGAUCCUUCCCUUGUUAUGGUCAACAGAUGGGGCUUUGGCCACACAGACUAAUAUAUAUUGGGGACAAUUGAACACUGAGCUAAGUCUAUCACUGAAUGGUGUUGAAAGAGGCACUCUCUGACAUAGUCUGUUGACACCUGUGGGCGGGGAACACUUGUGUGAAAACCAGGGGGGGCUUGCAUGCACUGGGGUGCUGUUCAUUUUUUUAAUAAAGGUCAAAGGUCAAAGGUCAAAUUUAAAUUUUUCUAUGAAUAUUCAUGAACACAUAUGAACUGAUGUGAAUAAAUAACAAGAGACUCAUGAA